AAAUUCUUUUGGUCCAAAGACCUAUUUUGUUUUCCCCCAAAAUGAAAUCACCACUGAGAACCUCCUUUCACAAAACCCUUCUAUACCACCAUUAGUAGACUACAUUCAACCAGUAUUCUUUAACCAACAAGCUUCGAUUUCUCUGUAUUUUGGUGUUCUGUCAAUUGCUUUAUCCUUGUAAAGCGAUUACCUCAAGGUUGUGAGGCACCAUUUAUUGAGGCAGCAUCCCAGUUUCUCAACGAUAUGCUAUUGUUGUUGCUCAACAUCAUUAAAGGAGAAGGAUGAAGCUCCGGAAGCUCCAAGAAGGCCCAUGACAAGGUCUCAAACAAAGAAAUUUCAAGACAAGCUUAAUGGACUUCAAUUGGCAA